rnacentral:rRNA from 1 species
UACGUAGGGGGCAAGCGUUGUUCGGAAUUAUUGGGCGUAAAGAGCGUGUAGGCGGUUUGGUAGGUCCGUUGUGAAAACUCGAGGCUCAACCUCGAGACGCCGAUGGAAACCAUCAGACUAGAGUCCGGAAGAGGAGAGUGGAAUUCCUGGUGUAGCGGUGAAAUGCGCAGAUAUCAGGAAGAACACCCGUGGCUAAGGCGGCUCUCUAGUACGGUACUGACGCUGAGACGCGAAAGCGUGGGGAGCGAACAGG